rnacentral:rRNA from 1 species
GAGCGCCGUAGCAAUACGGAGCGGCAGACGGGAGAGUAACACGUGGGAACGUACCCUUUGGUUCGGAACAACCCAGGGAAACUUGGGCUAAUACCGGAUACGUCCGUAAGGAGAAAGAUUUAUCGCUGAAGGAUCGGCCCGCGUCUGAUUAGCUAGUUGGUGGGGUAACGGCCCACCAAGGCGACGAUCAGUAGCUGGUCUGAGAGGAUGAUCAGCCUCACUGGGACUGAGACACGGCCCAGACUCCUACGGGAGGCAGCAGUGGGGAAUAUUGGACAAUGGGCGCAAGCCUGAUCCAGCCAUGCCGCGUGGGUGAUGAAGGCCCUAGGGUUGUAAAGCCCUUUCGGCGGGGAAGAUAAUGACGGUACCCGCAGAAGAAGCCCCGGCUAACUUCGUG